AGGCACGGGCGGGGCAGGAGCUGGGGGCCCCCCCGCAGGCCGUGCGGGAGGCGGAGAGCGUGGAGGGGAGAAUUGCAGUGCUCGACUCCCCCCGAAAUGCACCGGCAAGUUCAGCGCCCCCAGCUAUGCCGUGGACUCUCUGCCCCUCGGGUGAAUGGACUUAUCACCGGGCUCCGCACUACGUCCGGCGCCCUGGCGAGUGGUGAGGGGCGCGUGGGAGGAGGGCCGCCCCGCGGUUAUGUAAUAGACCGGCCCGCUGUGACCCGAGCAAACUCGCUUGGGGGCUGCCCGACCCUCUUGGGGAACAGCCGUGCGUGCCCGCGACCCAGGCGAGCAGUGGAGGGCCAGUGUUCUCAAAAAGAACUUUCCCCUGCAGGGUCGAAGAGCGAGCUCUGGAGAAGGUAUCCAAGGGCUCCCUGAGGUGUAUUUGGCAGGGGUCUAGUCUCUGCCAGCCAGCCCGUCCCGUUUCACAGCACAGGAAACAGGCCGCCAAGCGUUAAAGCGCCGUCUCUUGGAGUAAGGUGGACCUAGAUUCAGUGUUUCUGAAAACCUCGGGACCUUAGGCAAGUUACUUAAAUCUCUGAGCCUCAGUUUCUUCACCUGCAAAACGGCAAUAGUAAUUGUCCACUUCCUGUGGUUGCUGAGGCUAAAAUGAGUGAGGCGCAGAUUGCACGCCCCCAGUAAAAGGUACUGCCCUUGAUUGUGCGAAGAUUCGCCCUACUCCCCUUAGAGUCAGCUGUCUCCCUGGCUUGACGAAGGAGCUACCGGAGACCACCAAGAGGCACCCCAGAUUAGGUUCGGCCGAUCCUAUCUCUGGCAGAAUGAUUUUCAUCUUUUGAGAGUUCAGAGCCGCUGUGCAGUUUGGGGGCUCUCUGACCCAGCUAGCGCUUCUUCUGAGAACACAUCUGAGAUAAGAUUACGUUUACCUGGACAGUGGGAAAGAGAGAGAAGCUACUGGUUUAUUCAUCCGACCAGAUGUUCAGUAUGACCAGAAAAACGAGUGACAGUCUUCCAAGAAGUCAGGAUGACAAGGGGAGAAAAAAAAGAAGCUUUGCCGUGGAGAAACCUGACAAACACUGCCUCAGCCUCAUCAGUGACAAGUCCCAUGGGUAGGACCUGCCCUCUAUAGAAAGUGACACUUUAGUCCUUGGUCUUCCUCUCAGAAACCCGUAACCCAUCUAAUCAUGAAAAGACAUCAGACAAACACCAACUGAGGGACACGCUACGAAACACUUGCCCAGUAAUUAUCAAUAUCAAGGUCAUCAAAAGCAAGGAAAAUCUGAGACACCAUCACAGCCAAGAAGAGCCUAAGAAGACAUGGCAAUUAAUGCAAUGUGGUGUCCUGGAUGGGAUCCUGGAAGAGGAAAAGAACAUAAGGUUGAAAACUAUGGAAAUCUGGAUGGAGUAUUGUUAAUGUUAGUUUGUGUAUUGUGAGAAACAUACCAGGCUAAUGGAAAAUGUUCACUACAGAGGGACCUAGUGUACAGUCUUCAUGGGAACUCUCUCUACUAUCUUUACAUUUUCUUUGCUAAGUCUAAAACUGUCCUAAAAUAAAUAAAUAUGUAUAUAUAUAUAUAUGUCAACAAACAAUGAAAGCAUAGAUGGAUAUUAUAUUUUAUGCAUUUUGGGAAGUAUAGAUAACAACAUAAAGGACACGCAUCUACCCCAAAUCCAGCUUAUUUCUCAACAUAUGUAGCUACCUGUUCACCUCCUAUGCCUUUCUCUCCCUUUCAUAACCCUAUCUGGAAUUUCAUGUUUAUUUUC